rnacentral:rRNA from 1 species
AUGCUGAUAUACCUAAAGCAUACACUGAAGCUAAGAAUGUUCUUAGUGAAGUCGGGCUGGGUUACGAGACAAUUCAUGUUUGCAAGUUUGAUUGUGCAUUGUUUUGGGGCCAACAUGCCAACAAGAGCCAUUGUCCUGAAUGCGGGACAUCAAAAUGGAAAGACGAGGUGGGGAGGAAAAAGAUACCUCACAAGGUACUUAGGUACUUUCCUAUCAUCCCAAGGCUUCAAAGAUUUUUUGUGUCAAAGGAACAAUUAG